rnacentral:rRNA from 1 species
GAUGAACGCUAGCGAUAGGCUUAACACAUGCAAGUCGAGGGGCAGCAUGGUCUUAGCUUGCUAAGACUGAUGGCGACCGGCGCACGGGUGCGUAACGCGUAUGCAACUUGCCUCACAGAGGGGGAUAACCCGUCGAAAGACGGACUAAUACCGCGUACACUCCAUCUUGGGCAUCCAAGGUAGAGGAAAUGAAAUUCGCUGUGAGAUAGGCAUGCGUCCCAUUAGCUAGUUGGUGAGGUAACGGCUCACCAAGGCGACGAUGGGUAGGGGAACUGAGAGGUUGAACCCCCACACUGGUACUGAGACACGGACCAGACUCCUACGGGAGGCAGCAGUGAGGAAUAUUGGUCAAUGGGCGAGAGCCUGAACCAGCCAAGUCGCGUGAAGGAUGACUGUCUUAUGGAUUGUAAACUUCUUUUUUACGGGAAUAACAAGAGUCACGUGUGACUCCCUGCAUGUACCGUAUGAAUAAGCAUCGGCUAACUCCGUG